AGAUUGAACGCUGGCGGCAUGCUUUACACAUGCAAGUCGAACGGUAACAGGCCGCAAGGUGCUGACGAGUGGCGAACGGGUGAGUAAUGCAUCGGAACGUGCCCAGUCGUGGGGGAUAACGCAGCGAAAGCUGUGCUAAUACCGCAUACGAUCUAUGGAUGAAAGCGGGGGACCGAAAGGCCUCGCGCGAUUGGAGCGGCCGAUGUCAGAUUAGCUAGUGGUGGGUAAAGCCACAGGCGACGAUCUGUAGCUGGUCUGAGAGGACGACCAGCCACACGUGGAACUGAGACGACGGUCCAGACCUCCGUACGGGACGCAGCGAGGUAGGGGUAAUUUUGGAACGAAGUUCGGGACGUACGAAGGCCCGUGACU
rnacentral:rRNA from 1 species